CUACAGAUUUUGAAAUAUUUCCACCAGAAAAGUAAGAAUCUUUUAAAAAAAGAAAAACAAAAAAACAAAAAAAGUCGGCCCUGCCUAAGAAUCUUUAAAAAAAAGAAAAAGCUAAAAAACAAAAAAAGUCGGCCCUGCCGCCUCCCUUCUCCACCCAAGCCCUAACGCGGGUCCUCCUCCCCGAUGUACGCCGCUCGCACCUCCGUCCUCCGCCCGGUCGCGCCUCCUCCACCGUCCGCCAGCCGGGCUGCCUCCUUCCUCCACUGCGCCGAGCAUCCCCCGGGCGGCACGCCCCCUGCUGGAUCUCCUCCGUCCUCCGCCACGCCGGGCCACCUCCGGGCGCCCCACGCCGGCGCCCCACGCCGGCGCGUCCCCUCUACGGCCCCACGCCGGCGCGCCCCCUGCACAGCUUCCCACACGAUCCAUUCCGGCGGCGGCGCUGGAAAACGGGAGGAGGUGCCCCAUCGAGUCGCCGCCGCCACCCACAAGCGGAACAAGGCGGCGGCGGCUAAGGAGCACGGAAGGGCGCUCGCCUUCGCCCACCUCCAUGUGAUGCUGCUCCAGUCGGUCUUCAACGUCUACAGUGGGUCGCGGAGGCCGACCAGCUCGGCGUGGCCGCGCCCGUCUCUUAGGGACCCCGACAUCGUCCUCGACCUGUGAGUAGCCGCCCGCCUUGUCCCCACCGAUCCCAGCCCGUUCUUGUCCCCACCGAUCAUCACCCCGUAUCCAGAGGCGACGGCUGCCCAAGGAUCACGAGGAACUGGUGGCGGCCCACGGGACCACGGCGAGUCGGCGGCGGUCAGCUUCCCCAAUCCCCUUGGGUUGUUCCCCCUAGCUGCGGAUGUGACGGUGGUGGUGAUUCGUGUCGGCUCCUUCCCUUCCGCUCCAUCCAUGGAGAAGACUGGCAAGAUCGACGUCCCUCUCCGCUGCCCCAUCCUGCCUCUCAAUUUUGCCUGUAGGAUCCUGAAUUGUUCCAUUAGCAUGCCUCUUUGGUUUAUUUACUGGUGGCCAAGCAUCGAGAAUAUCUCAGUCAUCCACUGUGCAAUGUUCUUAGGAGAGGAAAAAACAUAGACAAAUCAAUUGAGUUUGAAGCCAGAAAGGGAUAUCAGAGGAACCUGCAAGGAAAAGUUAACAGGUUCAGGUUGUUGAUGAGAAGAGAAGAUUACUAGCCGAGCUGUAGGCUUUGUUGCUUGCCCAUGCUAUCGUACUCCUCCUAACAGAUUCCCUGGAAUGACUAAAUAUGCACUCCUUCGGAAAGCGUCUGCAGCUGCGCAUGCAUGGUAAAGGGGACUGUUGUUUAGCAUAUUAGUAACUUCCUGCAUCUAUCUGUCAUUGACCGAAAAAUACCAAAAAUGGAGCACAAGAGCUGUAAUCGAACCCAGGAGGUCAGGACCUGUUGAGACAGGAACACUCACCACUACGAUAAACCUUGCUGAGUAAGGGCAUGUAAUUUUUUCAAAGAGGUCUAAUUAAGAGUCUUGUUGCUUAUGUUGGUCCGGUAAGUUAUGAGUACAGUUACUUACCAGAUGAUAGUAUCAAUAUUCAAUAUGGAGGUUCACAAUAGGAACAUAUGUUUAAUGUUAAUGAUUUCUCUCACUAGGUUAAAUUCAUAAUUGUUUGAAUAUCAAGUUGAUGUUAUUUUAUUUGAUUAUGAUCUAAGCCCGUAACAAAGCAAGUUUGGUUGGUGUUGCAUCUAUUUGUCUCCAGUUUGUGCUUAUUUUUCAGCUGACUGUUCAAAUGUAGUUGCUGAGCAAAUCUUUGGAAGGGACCACAUCCUAGAUUCAUUUAAGCAACCCAGCUGCUUGUUUCACUCAUUCAGGCAUUACUAUUGUUGCACUGGCAGAGUAAUCCAAUGGAUGCACACGGGAAAGUUACAUGGUAAACACAAUGUAGUGUGUUUCAGCUCUUGGCAAUCACGGACUUUGAAGCUUAGUGUUUUGCAUUCUUAAUCUGCACUUUCAGUCAUGUGAAAUCCUUUUUAAGUAUUAAAUUUCAGACCAUCAGACUAAGCUUAAUCUUCAUUAGACUAAAAAGAUGAGAUCUCAAGGAAA